AAGUCGUAACAAGGUUUCCGUAGGUGAACCUGCGGAAGGAUCAUUAACACUUAUUUUAGUUGCCUUAUUACAACAAAAAAGCAAUAAUAGGGGCAUUAGAGAGAGAAGCGAGGACCUAUAGCAAUAUAGGAUUUUGCUUUCUCUUUAUUUGCCCUAUUAUUGUUUUUUUAAGUCCCAAUAGCACAUUUGUGAAUAACAAAGAAAAAGGAAUUGGUGUAGUGAGAGACCCUUUAAGUUAAUUACAUGCUAGACAUAAAAAAGGAAUUGAUUGUGGCAUUGUUUAUGUAUAGUAUGUAAUUACUCAUUUGUUUAACCCCAUUGACCCGAUACACAAUAAUAAAAACAAAACAAAAUUGGAUGAUAUUUCCUUUAAUUAAUGAAAUAAGAGAACAACUCUUAACAAUGGAUAUCUUGGUUCUCGC
rnacentral:misc_RNA from 1 species